CAAAUACCGCAAAGUUUUGCCUCUUUACUUUGGGCUUCAGAAGGUUGACGCCAGGAAUUUGUAUCCGGAGAUUGCAAAAUUGUCUUCAUGGGAAGGAGAUGACAUUCCUUCAGUGGUUGAACGGGCAACAGAAUCAGUAUUUGAGUUGUCUAUACCAACUCUUUGUUAUCCAUUUUUGUCUAAGAAGAGACGUGACACUUGUGUUCAUACUCAAACGGCUCCAGUUUGGUCAACUGAGCGUUCUAUUUUCUUAAACAGAGCCUCUACUUUCUUUGAAAGGCAGAGCAGUGAUCAUGAUGAGACUGCUUCUGUUCGACU